CCAGUGGCUGUCCCAGCUGUCGGGGCCGCCGGCGCGCCUGCUGUGCCCAGUGCUGAGCGAGCGGCGCGGCGGGACGGACGGGACGGGACGGGACGGGACGGGACAGCACAGCACAGCACGGACGGGACGGGACGGACGGGACAGCACGGACGGGACGGGCGGCCGCCCGGCGCCAGAAUGGUUGCCUGGGAAAAACAGCACUGCUGUGUUGGCAGAAUACAGGAUAUUUUCUUGAGAUUCAGGAUUGUUCAAGCAGUCCUUUUACUUCAGUUAUUCUUGGCUACAGCAAGCAAAGUUGAAACUACUGCCACACUGCCUAGCAGAAGAAUGACAGAUUCUGAAGAAUCAGCUGCAACAACAAGUUUUGAUAUGUCUUCAGAGGAGACUACACAAAGUACAGAAGCCCUUACAACAACAGAUUAUUACUACUCCACCAUCACACCAGCAGGAGAAACCAUUGUAUGCAACAUAACACGUGCCUGUAAUUAUUCAGGUUAGUGGUUUUCUUUUCCCUUUUUUUACAUAAAAUAUUAUCCAACUAUUUAAUACACUGAGUAAUGAAGCA
rnacentral:lncRNA from 1 species